UCGGCGUUCCCGAGGACAACAUAGAAUUAGAAUCCAGGCUGUGAUCCGGGCAACGGGUGGGAGAGGAAGUAAUCGGUGGUGCCCAGGCCCCGAAUGAAUUCUGCUGACAUCUGCUGGUCAAUGUGAGUCAAAGAGAAAAGAAGCUAUAAUCACCUGAUGAACUUAAAAGAAAUGUAUGGCUCUGUUCUAUUACAGGAUGCAAGAUCAAUCUGUCAAGAGACCCAUUUACCCUCUCUGCCAUAAAUUUGUUCAGUCAGGGGCUUGUGUUGCUUUAAAAACAAUAUACCAGUAUGAUUU